UUGGCAGAAAGACAGCCUUCCUUAUUGUUAAAAAUUUUCCUUCUUGUUUUUCCAUUAAAAUUUCUUACUUGAUAUCUGUUGAUGCAGCUUUUACUAUGCUUCUUAUAUCUCCUUAAGAUACUAAGUCGAGGCCCCAGCAAGUGAAUUGGUAACUGAUGGGCAUGGAAUCAAGAGAAAACAAGAUAAGAGAAGACUGAGUCACGUCAAUGUCUUCAAGGCUUCCUUCGAGGGGCUGUUUGUUUGGGCUAAAAAGUGGAGAAAAUGGGUUUUGGAAAACUGACAGCCCAUUUCUUAUAUUUUCCUUCACCUUCUGACGUUUGGUUCACAAAAACGAAAGAAGGAAAGAGGGAGAAAACUGGCGUUUAAAGGAAAAUUUGGGGCCGAUCUGUUUUCCGCCCUCAAGUCCCCGAUUUUGCAGAAAACUCGCGGAAAGUGAAGAGGAGGGAAAGUUUAGGGUUCCUGCCUCCUCAAUCCCGUCACCGCUCCCUCUCUCUCUCCCGCCUCCCUCAUUCCCUUGCCCCUCCCGCUUCGCAUAGACGAACAAAGCCGACGAAGCCGACGAACAUGUAUGACCGACAACCUCAAUUGUGAGGAACUUGAUAAGGUCAAAGGGAUGAGAGAGCUGCCACCUUCCAAAUUUCAGUUCAAACAAGAAGACUGAAGUACCCAUUCAUGGAGAGGAUGGAUCGCGAAUCAAAAAGCAUACUUUGGCAGUCAUACUGACAGGGCAUUUUUUAUCAGCAAAGUUGAUAUGGCAAGCUCCGCCUUCCAACCCCUUGCUCAGGCAAUCGGUGUUGCAGUUUUGAUCGCUGCAUGUUGAACCCUCCAUUGUCAUCAUCCCAUCGUCC